rnacentral:rRNA from 1 species
UACGUAGGGGGCAAGCGUUAUCCGGAAUUACUGGGUGUAAAGGGAGAGUAGGCGGCAAGGUAAGCGAUAUGUGAAAGCCUUAGGCUUAACCUGAGGAUUGCAUAACGAACUAUCUAGCUAGAGUACAGGAGAGGAAAGCGGAAUUCUUAGUGUAGCGGUGAAAUGCGUAGAUAUUAGGAAGAACACCAGUGGCGAAGGCGGCUUUCUGGACUGAAACUGACGCUGAGGCUCGAAAGCGUGGGGAGCGAACA